ensembl:lncRNA
GUAAAAACUAAAUGUAUAAAUGGGUAAAUCACUGUAAAAGCUCACCAUCGUGAGUCUUUAAUGUAAACAUUGAUAAUUCAAGCCAUAAUGACUGACUUUAUGAGAUGUUGUGCUGUUUUAACAAUUCAGAUUUCCAGCCUUCUAGCAGUAGCAACUUUGGCUUUGUUGGAGCAGGAGGUUUGACUUUCCUUGUGUUGUGUUGUAGAGGAAAAAGUACCUGGUAAAAAUUCCAUGGCAAAACAUUUCAUUUUAUAUGCGCAUGGGAAACAAGUCACAUCCGUGAGUCAUUGUGGCAGAACACUUUUUAUUAGGCGUAGCAGUGAGGCCCCAUGUUUGAAUGAACUUAAGAGUUGUGUUGCGGGAGGACCCCUCCCCCAUCACACCCCGCCAGUCUCAGCCCUGCCUGUCCCCGCCCCCUCCCUCGCUCUCCCACGCAGCUUCAUCUCCGGCAAGCCUGGGCUGCAUGCUGAGCACUUCCACUCAUCUCCCACAGCCCAAGCCUGGAGACACCAUGCGGACGCAGUCCCAACGCCUGCUCUGCGUCUGCCUGUCCUGGAGCCUGUUGCUGCUGCAGGUGCUGCGCACUGCCACCCAGGACUUGGAUGAUGAUGAUACGGUAUAUGAGUAUGGGGGAACUCCACUGCCAGACUUCGAGUCCAACACCACCAUUGAGUUCACCUUCUUCAGCAACGUCAGCAACUUCUACGAUGAAUUCCACAAAAUCUUGUACGGGACUGAAGAUGUAACACAGAGAACAGAAGAAGUGGAAGAGGAAGGACAGGAUGCUGGCUGGGGACCAGAAAGUGGGGCCUCAGGGACGUUCCCUCCCAGCAUUCUCCUGGGUCUCAGCCUGAUGGCGCUCUGGCUUGGCCAACACCUGUGAGCAGGUCCCAUAGAACAGCACGGCGGAGAUGUGUGUCACUAUGACGGCGGCAACAAGCUUGGCCUGUUGGGGGCUCCGAGGUGAAUGGGUCACAGGGACACCAGGACGCCCUCUGGAGUAAACAGGAUCACACAUGCAUCUCACGGACGGGGCCAGCCAGUUGGCCCAUGUCACACCGCCCUGCCCCGACACCCCUCACACCCCUUGCCCUCCCCGUCCUAUUACGCUCCUCGUUGGGUCUGCUACCGUUCAGCUUCUCGGGAUGCUUCACCUAUCCGCGAUGACCAUCCCAAGAGAAAGACGAGCAAAGAAACAGAAACAAUUAUCUAUUUUUGCCCUUGUCGCCCCAGAAAUGCUCUCAUUUUCUUCACGUGAGCCAGGUUAUUACCAGCCGUCACUCUCUUCUUCGAUGAUCAUCAGUGUGGCUCCACACAUGUGACUUUGGACCCCUCGACUUGCUCCCGAACUCUGAAAUCCAUCCCCAGUCAUCAUGACGAAAAAACCCUGCACCACUGCUGUCUCCUGGACUCAGGACUCACCCUUGUCUCCCUUCAGGAGUCCACAGCAACAAUGCUGUAUUUAUUAUCUUUCAUAAACACUUUUAUAAACACUUAAACAUCAAUAAUCUCACCAAAAACAGCAAUGACACAGAGCCUCUCACUGCUACCGCAUGUAAAUGUCACUACACUUAUAAAAAAAUUUGCUUUUCUGAAGAAGAUGUACUCAGACAACUUUAUAUGCUGUAUAGUCUUUAA